rnacentral:misc_RNA from 1 species
CAAUAAUGACAUAUUAGUUCUUGUUAAUUUUGGACAAAGUGCUUUCAGUUAUGCGCCUGCAAAUGCUCAACGAACACCGAAUCCUUGCUUCAUUGGGCCUCUUGUAAAUUCCUCUGCUUUGGGGUAUGACGAUAGCAAAGAACUCUUCUCAAUGGGAAGGAUAGACUCUCAGUGGCUUAAUAGAAGUACAACUAAAGGUUCCCACAACAGCAAUGGUACUAAUAAUAACCGGACAGUUGAUUUCGAUGAAGAAUCUGAGGCUGAUUUGUUUGAAAUUGUCUUGGAUGGUUCUGCUUCUGCAACUGGAAGAUCUCCAAGCACAGUGUUGCGCUAACAAUUUUCUGUAAAGGGUAUCUACUGUUUCUGUUUGCUGAGUGCCAUGGAUUUGUCUUUUGCUAUAUAGUUAACAUCAGAGAAAUUCAACAAAUAGAAACAGGUUUUGUGAGGGCCAUUCUUUAUUGAUACAUUU